GACGAACCGUGGCAAACGUUAUUCGGAAUCACUGGCGUUAAAGGGCGCGUAGGCGGGUGUCCAAGUCAGGGGGUGAAAUCCGGCAGCUCAACUGUCGAACAGCUUCUGAUACUGGAUGUCUUGAGGGGGGUAGGGGCAUGUGGAACUUCCGGUGGAGCGGUGAAAUGCGUAGAUAUCGGGAGGAACAUCAGUGGCGAAGGCGGCCACCUGGACCAACACUGACACUGAGGCACGAAAGCGUGGGUAGCAAACAGG
rnacentral:rRNA from 1 species